CUGGGCUAGAAAAAGCGGAAGCGCCCCCGGGGCAGGCUGGGAGAUGUAGUUCCUGACUCUCCCUGGACCGGAAGUGACGUUAGGUGGGAGAGCACAAGCAGAGCUGCAAACGCGCGCGAGUCGCUCCGGCUCUGCCUGGCUCGCGCAGGGCCGUUGGAGCCUCUCCCGGGGCCAGAGAAGGGCUACAGAAUAACGUCCAUGUUUUGCUUCAGAUCAUCCCAUCCUCCCAGGGGGAAGGAAAUGGCUGCAAUGGAGCUGGCUCAGGGGCCAGUGACCUUCGAGGAGGUGGCU